rnacentral:ncRNA from 1 species
UAACUGGAUUGUGGCAGCCAAGCGUUCAUAGCUACGUCACUUUUUGAUCCUUCAAUGCUGGCAUUUCCUAUCAUUGUGAAGCAGAAUUCACCAAGCAUUGGAUUGUUCACCCACUAAUCCUCAUAAUCCUUCUGACCUUUGGGGUU